rnacentral:rRNA from 1 species
CCUACGGGGGGCAGCAGUAGGGAAUCUUCCACAAUGGACGAAAGCCUGAUGGAGCAACGCCGCGUGGGUGAAGAAGGUCUUCGGAUCGUAAAACCCUGUUGGUAGAGAAGAAAGUGCGUGAGAGUAACUGUUCACGUUUCGACGGUAUCUAACCAGAAAGCUACGGCUAACUACGUGCCAGCAGCCGCGGUAAUACGUAGGUGGCAAGCGUUAUCCGGAUUUAUUGGGCGUAAAGGGAACGCAGGCGGUCUUUUAAGUCUGAUGUGAAAGCCUUCGGCUUAACCGGAGUAGUGCAUUGGAAACUGGGAGACUGGAGUGCAGAAGAGGAGAGUGGAACUCCAUGUGUAGCGGUGAAAUGCGUAGAUAUAUGGAAGAACACCAGUGGCGAAAGCGGCUCUCUGGUCUGUAACUGACGCUGAGGUUCGAAAGCGUGGGUAGCAAACAGGAUUAGAUACCCUAGUAGUC